rnacentral:sRNA from 1 species
UUUCUGUUCCCUCUACCCCCUGCGGCAAG